rnacentral:rRNA from 2 species
UGCAAGUCGAACGAUGAUCCGGUGCUUGCACCGGGGAUUAGUGGCGAACGGGUGAGUAACACGUGAGUAACCUGCCCUUGACUCUGGGAUAAGCCUGGGAAACCGGGUCUAAUACCGGAUACGACCUGUCACCGCAUGGUGGUGGGUGGAAAGAUUUUUUGGUUUUGGAUGGACUCGCGGCCUAUCAGCUUGUUGGUGAGGUAAUGGCUCACCAAGGCGACGACGGGUAGCCGGCCUGAGAGGGUGACCGGCCACACUGGGACUGAGACACGGCCCAGACUCCUACGGGAGGCAGCAGUGGGGAAUAUUGCACAAUGGGCGAAAGCCUGAUGCAGCGACGCCGCGUGAGGGAUGACGGCCUUCGGGUUGUAAACCUCUUUCAGCAGGGAAGAAGCGAAAGUGACGGUACCUGCAGAAGAAGCGCCGGCUAACUACGUGCCAGCAGCCGCGGUAAUACGUAGGGCGCAAGCGUUGUCCGGAAUUAUUGGGCGUAAAGAGCUCGUAGGCGGUUUGUCGCGUCUGCUGUGAAAGCCCGGGGCUCAACCCCGGGUCUGCAGUGGGUACGGGCAGACUAGAGUGCAGUAGGGGAGACUGGAAUUCCUGGUGUAGCGGUGAAAUGCGCAGAUAUCAGGAGGAACACCGAUGGCGAAGGCAGGUCUCUGGGCUGUAACUGACGCUGAGGAGCGAAAGCAUGGGGAGCGAACAGGAUUAGAUACCCUGGUAGUCCAUGCCGUAAACGUUGGGCACUAGGUGUGGGGGACAUUCCACGUUUUCCGCGCCGUAGCUAACGCAUUAAGUGCCCCGCCUGGGGAGUACGGCCGCAAGGCUAAAACUCAAAGGAAUUGACGGGGGCCCGCACAAGCGGCGGAGCAUGCGGAUUAAUUCGAUGCAACGCGAAGAACCUUACCAAGGCUUGACAUGGACCGGACCG